rnacentral:misc_RNA from 1 species
UAAAAGUCCACAAGUUAUUCACUGCAAUACUACUGCUGGUGGAGAAUGAAAAUCAUCUUCUGGUUAAUAGCGUGCUUUGGAUGCGUGGUUCAGUCACAAAUCAUUGAUUUAGAUGACAGUUUCUCAGUUGAUCCUGAAGACGACACACCAUGGCUUGUAGAAUUUUAUGCUCCUUGGUGUGGUCAUUGUAAAAGAUUAGAACCAAUUUACCAUCAAGUUUAUUUGGAUUUAGAAAAAUCACAUAUUAAAGUAGCUAAAUUGGAUGCAACAAGACAUACAACUGUCUCGGCCAAAUAUGAAGUUCAAGGUUUUCCCACAAUUUUAUUUAUACAAGGUGAUAGAGUUUUCAAACACCAAGGCGAUAGAACAAAAGAAGCAAUUACUGAAUUUGCCAAAAGGGCUUUAGGACCAACCAUCAAAGUAAUAUCAAAUGGGGCGAAAUAUUUCGAUAUUCGAAGCGAACAUGCAGAUAGUUCUUUCUUUUUAUAUAUUGGAGCGCAACAGGGUCUGUCCGAAUUAAUGACAAAGUUCGCAGCAGUUACUGAUAAAUUAGCUGUUCAUUCUUAUUAUUAUUCGUGCGAAAGAAAAAUACUGCCUCCAGACUUCGUUAAACACUUACAACACGAUCCAACUCUUGUUGUGUUUAAAGAUAGGGAAUGGUAUGAAUACGAACCUGGUGAAUCUGGUGUAACAAGAAGUUCUGUUGAAGCUUUUGUAGCUAGAGAACGACACUUGGCUUUCCCAAAAUUAGCUGGAGGCGGAGGGUUGAGCGAUAUGAGUGAUUUAAGGAAAAAAAUUGUUGUUAUUGUUGUAAAUGAUGCGGAUAAGGAAUCAGUAAAAUUGAAUAGCAGAAUGAAAGACAUAGCCACAAUGAUGUCGACUAAAUAUCGAAGGGAUUUUCAUGCUCACUUUCAAUUUGCCUGGAUGGAUGAUCCAGAAACGAUGAAUACAAUAACAAUGACAACUCUAAAAUUACCGGCUUUAAUUGUUUUUGAUACAGAAACACAAUAUUAUUACUUACCAGAAUUUAAUCUGGUUGAUAUCACUUAUAACUCAUUUUCAAAGUUUUUAAAUGAAAUAAGAGAUGGAUCGGCUCCCUCUUUUGGUGGCACUGGAUUCCUUCAAAGAGUAAAGAGAAUUGCGUACGAUAUAUGGAUUGCAGUCUAUAGCAUUUAUGAAGCAUCAGCUUGGCUGGCUCUUCUUGUAUUUGGUUUGCCUUCUGCCGUCAUUUCUAUUGUUUGCUACGCUCUCUGUUGUAUGGAACCAAUCGACGACGCUGAAGAUACAGACGACGAGAAUAUAGAUGAAAGUUUGUGUUCUUUAUCAUAUACUAUCCCUCUCUUUUUUACAUUUUGUGAUACGGUGUGCAUGAGAUGUGUGUUCAAGAGUUUUUUUUCAAAAUUAAAUAAGAAAAAUUUAGGCUGUUCUUGGCGAGCUUGGUUGGUGGGCUUUAAUGAUUUUUGGUAUACCCGCUACGGUUAUUUCGCUCGUCUGUUAUUCCUUUUGGUGUUUGGAACCAAUUGACGAUUCAUUUUGGGAUGGUAGCUGGCUUAGAGAGGAACUCGAGGCAGAGAGACGAGCUAAACUGGCAGAGGAACAGUCUGCAGAAACUGAUAAAGAUUCAAAAGUUAGGUACCGGUUAACCACUCCUGGUACACAGGAGGAUAUUGAAGCGAAUGUACCGCUUCUGGAUGACAGCUCUGGUGAGAUUUACUCAACAGGGAUUUUCAAUUUAUAUUUUUCUCACUAGAAUAUAACUUAUGUAUGACUGAGUUAGAAUAAUAGAAAUUAUAGAGCGAGUGAAAGUAUAUUUAGUAUAGAUAUACAGUAUAUAUAUAUAGAAAUAAUCUUUAUUUAAUUGUCCAGCAGCUGCUUGUUUUAUUAAAAUGACUUUAACUUUUAGAUGCCUCGCCAGUAGAUGCUCCAGUUAAGGAUCCAAAGCACGUCAAAAAUGAGUAAUAAAAGAAAGAAGAGCUUUUUGAGCGUUCAAUAUUUGAUUGACACCUUGGUCUCUUUCAUUUGUCGUUUUACAAGAAGCUUAUUUAAUAUUUAUAAAAUUUAAUUGUUUUUGGUAUGUAUAGGAGUCAUAAAAAAAUAUUCUUUUCAGCUGACAAACAAAUUUUUAUGCACGCCUCAGAUCAACGUCGUCUAGUCAUGUAAAACAACUCAAUAAUAUAUUGUAUUAUCACAAAAAUGAAAACAUUUAUUUAUUUAUUUAUUUAUUUAUUUAUUUAUUUAUCAUGUUAUUAGAAUUUUAUUAAUUAUUUGUUUUGUAUACGUUGUUACUUUUUUAAUUGGAAAGAGACGAAUAAAAGAGAAUAAAACGAGGCACGAUAGAUUUUUUUUCUACUUUAUUAACAGCAUAAAAUAUAAAGAUAUAAAACGCGUUGUAUAGGUAAAUGAUAUUCACUUACACUUUAGUAUGCUUAAUUAGGUCGAGGCAUCGUUUUUUUAAGUUGAAAGCCAGAUUCAUAUUACAAUGUUUAUUAUGAUAUAUACAUAUUCUUGUCCAUUUAUGUAUACAUUUUUUAUCUUCUGUUUACUGCUUAUUAUUGUCUGAUUUCCUUAAACUACCAGAUAAUCCGUUGUUAAAGUGCUGUUUCAUCUUCUAUUUUUUAGUUAUUUUUUAGUGAAAACUGUAAUAAGAUCAUUUUUUAGGUAAUUCCUUUCUUUGAAUCGACACUAUAAUGUUCUCUUGAAUACUAUAUUCUGGCCUAAUAGAGUACUACUAUUCUAGCAUAUAUUUCACAUUAUUAUGUUAUUUUCCAAAUUCUAAAAUACACGAACCACUCGUUCAUUACAAUUUAAAAAUAAUUAUCCUCUGUACAAUAUCUUAUAAAAAGAGAGUAGAACAUUAUUA